GUUCCCGACAGCCAGCCCAACUCUCACGUCUAUCCUAGAGACCCCCACGCCGCCGGCGAACUCCGGUCUCGUCGCUGGCCACCGCAAGACGGAUUGAUGUUGAAUCUGAGCUUCUCUUCUCAAUUCUAUUCAUCUGAUCGAGCCCCUUCUGGCCGUGAUACCAAAAUCUGACAUCCUAUUGUGCGGAUGGGUGCGCUGCUUAAGACGCACUGCGGACGGUGCGGCGCGGAGGGUUAGCCGGCGACCUUGGGCGGCGGAGGAGUCUAUGGCGCAGGUUACACGCCGGCUUUGGUCCAUGAGAAAAGGGAGGCGAUGCAUAUAGUGAAAUUGAGGGAGGAAUAGAAAGAUGUGAGCAGUGGCGGCAUGUGGCAGCAAGAUGUUACCUUGCUAAUUGUUGGUGUUAACAGACAUCUACCACUAUUUGCUGUCCAAUGAGUGUACCCAGCGAGUUGUCGCCUUCCUAAAUGUCGGUGCUGUCAGACUUGUACCACUGUAAGUGCUAUUGCUUUGUGUCCUUCCCAGUGCAGAUUCUCUCUUGUACUCCUUCCUAGGAAUACCAUAAUAUUGGAUUUUUUCUCAUGGUUCUCUUGAACUGAAAGGGCUACACGAUAGACGAACUUCUACAAAGAACAUAAAAUUCGCAAAAGUGUAUGUCCGAAUGGAUUUGAAAUAAUAAUCACAGUAUGGCAUCUACUCCUUAUAUUGGUUGAUGUUAAGUAUUGUUACUCCAUCUCAGUAAUAUAAAUAGUUUCUUAGUUUCACUGGAUAAGCUUCUAAUCAUCUAUAUUUUUAGAUUACCUACUUGUUCUUCUAGGUUCUGUUUCUUCUAUUUUAUCUCGAAACUGAUCGUUUGUCUUCUUGCGGUCUUACUGCUGCAGUACCUGUAUAUUUUCUUUUGGCUCAGCGGGCCUCUGAGUCUUCAUCUUCAAGCAUUGUAUUUUUUAAUUUUGCUUGAAGGUUUUCUUUUCCUCACGUACAACCCUUUCCUUUCUUACUGGCACACUUGCUUCAGUGCAUAGUCGAUAUGUGUCCCUUUCUUUUACCAUUUGAGAGAUAAUGUGAUGCUGAUAUUUGACUUCAUGCCCAUCCUCAUUUACGACAGUCCUAUCAGUACUGGGUGGUUCUUCUUUCACAUGCACCAGUUGAUAUAACACUUUUCCAAGUGAUUUUUAUUACUGUAUUUCGUAACUGCAAAACAAAAAAUAUUGAAGAAUUAAACUCGCUUGUAAUAAUCCAAAAACAGAUGUAUAAAAAUAUCAGUUAUCUUUUAGCCUGCAUGUUCGGUUUCUUCCUUUCAUGUUUUAACAUUUCAUAACUUCAUGAGCCAUCAAAUCCUAUGUACCAUAUAUGCAUUUGUAAGAAGAAUCUAUAAUACCUAAAUAGUUCAUCCCCACUAUCCUAUUUCUCUUAACAUGCAAGCUAUCCACAUCAGCAACCUAUCACAUCUAACAUGCAGACUCCACGUCAUAACAUCUGCCAACUAAGUAAUUAUUUUUCUUAUUUUUUCCAACGAAUCGUCAGUCUGGCUCCUCCCUUCGUGAUAUCCAGAAACAAUAACUCCUUCCGCUUCUCCACCCCCGCCUCUCCCCCUCCCUCCAUCAGUAACAUCCGCCCCGCAUCCCCAACCCUCCCUCGCUUUUACUCCUCGCCUUGGGCAUCCUCUUCCUCACCUUGGGUUCCUCUCAAGGUCGGCGUGUCUUCUUCACCUACCGAUGCCAUCCAGGGCUACCUUGGAUUCUGAGUGAUUGGCCAGCAACGAAAGUCCCAUGGCGUUAUUGUCUUAGAUCAUGGUGGCCCUGUCCCCGCAUCAUGAAAUUAUUCUUCUCACCAAAGGUUAUGCUCCAUGAUCUCAUCCUGUCCCACGCAUGUAAAUUGAUGUUGUUGAUUAAGUCUGGGAUUAGCAGUUCCCAAGUUAGAGAAAGUAUGUAUGUUUCAUUAUUAAAUUCAGAUUCAGACUGCAGCUUUUGAUGUUGUACGCCACAAGCAACGGUAUCUAGCACUGACCCUCCCACUGCUUGGGAGUAUUUAGGAUCGCAAGACAAUCGAUUUGGAAGGAGGUCGCACCAACGGGGAUCAAAGUAGGCUAAUCGAUAAGACAACGUCUUCUCGAUCGAUCAAUCUCGCCUGUCCGGUCCAACAGGCAAACUCGACCUUAAUCUACAGGUAUAUAUUGUUCUUACAGUACUAUUAGUUUCAUCCAACUUUGAUCCAUCGGCAAGCCGAUCUAUAUGCAUGUAUUCCUGCGUUGCAGCUAUAUAUAACGGCGACACGUGCGAUGUGGCCGCGGCAUGUUUACCAGCGGCCUGACGGGCAAUGGACGGGAGUAACGCUAUUCUUCCAUGUUUUCGAUCUCACCCUUUUGAUGCAGGAGAUUUUUGCAUCGGUCCAUACGACGGAUAUAAACAUUCAGUUAUUUCUUAGAUUUUUGAGAAAAAUGCCAGCCGUUCAUUCAUUUGACCAGAGAAAAAAAAUCAGAUGAAAAGAAAAGGAAAAAGGAUCAGAUGAAAAAAAACUAGCAUGGAUAUUCAUUAUUUCCCUACAUUUAAAACUGAUUAUAUUUAUUAAAUCAAUUUAAGUCUUGCGGAAGCUACAAUUAUUUUGCAAUCCCCUUUUACAGUGAUGGUUCAUGUAUUGCUCAUAUUCGUCGUGCUACAAAAGCAUAGCGUUUUUCUCUCUCUUAAUUUUAUGUUUUUUCGUGUAUCAUUAUGAUUUACAUGGGCACCAAGGUGAACUAUUGUUAAACCUUCCAGAUCGAUCAUAUUGCGAUCCCGCCUUGCUGAAUAAUAACUGAAUAUUCAACCCUCAAUUCUUUGUUUGACAUUAUUUGUAUGAGAAUAUUUUAUUUUGUAACCAAUAGUUAAAUCACGCAAAAGUUGUAAACACACGAACAAUGAAGUUCUAUUAUGAUUCGGUUGCUUUUGUUUCAAGUAAUUGGUGCUUUCUGAAUAUGCACAAAAAAAAAACUUUCAAAUGCCUAUCUAAUGGGAGCUCUAUCGAAAUGUAUGGAUAUCAUAUGUGUAUACUGACAUUACUUCUAAUGCCUGUACUUACUCUUCAUGAAGUAAUUAUUUGUUCAAAGGUAAUUUUCAGGUCAUGUUCCUUCAACACUACUGGGAACCGCUGAAAAUUGUACAAUGAUGAAGACCACAAGUGUUACCAAAUAAUUAAACAAUGAAGCAGGUACGGUUUCCAUGUUUGGUUUGAACCUAACACUUUAUUGUACAGAGUCAUUUUCUUAGUUUGCUUUGCGGAAAUUUAAUUGUGUGUCACUUACGGGAUUGACAACCACUGCAUUUUCUUUAGUUGUCUGACAAGCUAUCUUCCCCUCUGUUAACUGUAAAAUAUGCCUUUGAUUCCCCAGGGAUGAAUUGAUUAUAUUCGUUUGUUAAAUUUUGAAGUAGGAGCUUCACUUCCUUUCGAAUCUUAUACUCUUUUCAGUAUUUUGAAGGACGUGCUUCUAGCAUGGCGGUAAGUCCUCUAGGUGUAAGGCUACAACCUUGGUUCUCACACAAAGGGUCCCUCACUAACUUUGCAAUUGCGCCACCGUGGACAAUGAAGCCGGCAUUUCGGUCCUUCCGGAUGAUCAAGUUUUUUUCUAAUAUUUUCCAGUAAUAAAAAGAUUGUGCUUUCACACACCUCUUUUGUGUUUGCGUGUUUGGAAAAACAAUGGAGCUUAUGUUUUAUCAUUUAUGUCCAGUGUUGGCAUGUCUUCAAAGCGAAAUCGUUUUAUUUGCGAACCUUCAAGGUGUGUAUUGUUUACCGAAAUGUUACAAAUAAAACUGAUGAUGCUUACAUACA